CCGGGCUGGCCGGCUCGGUCGGGCAGGGCGCCUACAGCGCGGCCAAGGCCGGCAUCCUCGGGCUGACGCUGGUCGCGGCGGCCGAGCUGGGCC
rnacentral:tRNA from 1 species